CUAGUACUCCCUCAGUCCCAAUUUUUUGUCUUAUAUUUGUCUAAAUACGGAUGUAUCAAGUCAUGUUUUAGUAUUAGGUACACCCGUAUCUAGACAAAUGCAAGACAAGAAUUUUGGGACGGAGGGAGUAUUGA
rfam:Triticum aestivum genome assembly, contig: Triticum_aestivum_CS42_TGACv1_scaffold_404384_5BL